rnacentral:rRNA from 1 species
UACGGAGGGUGCAAGCGUUAUCCGGAUUUACUGGGUUUAAAGGGUGCGUAGGUGGGUAGGUAAGUCAGUGGUGAAAUCUUCGAGCUUAACUCGGAAACUGCCAUUGAUACUAUUUAUCUUGAAUACUCUGGAGGUAAGCGGAAUAUGUCAUGUAGCGGUGAAAUGCUUAGAUAUGACAUAGAACACCAAUUGCGAAGGCAGCUUACUACAUAGUUAUUGACACUGAGGCACGAAAGCGUGGGGAAUCAAACAGGG